rnacentral:rRNA from 1 species
AGCGAACGCUGGCGGCAGGCUUAACACAUGCAAGUCGAACGGGCACUUCGGUGCUAGUGGCAGACGGGUGAGUAACACGUGGGAACGUACCUUUCGGUUCGGAAUAAUACAGGGAAACUUGUACUAAUACCGGAUACGCCCUUCGGGGGAAAGAGUGAUCACCGAUUGGUCGGCACGGGUCUUAUUAGCUAGUUGGUGAGGUAAUGGCUCACCAAGUCGACGAUCAGUAGCUGGUCUGAGAGGAUGAUCAGCCACCCUGGACUGAGAGGCGGCCCAGACUCCUACGGGAGGCAGCAGUGGGGAAUAUUGGACAAUGGGCGCAAGCCUGAUCCAGCCAUGCCGCGUGUGUGAUGAAGGCCUUAGGGUUGUAAAGCACUUUUGUCCGGGAAGAUAAUGACUGUACCGGAAGAAUAAGCCCCGGCUAACUUCGUGCCAGCCGCCGCCGUAA